rnacentral:rRNA from 1 species
GAUGAACGCUGGCGGCGUGCUUAACACAUGCAAGUCGAACGAUGAAGCCCAGCUUGCUGGGUGGAUUAGUGGCGAACGGGUGAGUAACACGUGAGUAACCUGCCCUUAACUCUGGGAUAAGCCUGGGAAACUGGGUCUAAUACCGGAUAGGAGCGCCUACCGCAUGGUGGGUGUUGGAAAGAUUUAUCGGUUUUGGAUGGACUCGCGGCCUAUCAGCUUGUUGGUGAGUUAAUGGCUCACCAAGGCGACGACGGGUAGCCGGCCUGAGAGGGUGACCGGCCACACUGGGACUAAGAGACGGACCAGACUCCUACGGGAGGCAGCAGUGGGGAAUAUUGCACAAUGGGCGAAAGCCUGAUGCAGCGACGCCGCGUGAGGGAUGCCGGCCUUCGGGUUGUAAACCUCUUUCAGUAGGGAAGAUGCGAAAGUGACGGUACCUGCAGAAGAAGCACCGGCUAACUACGUG